GCAGUAGCCGCGGUAAUACGUAGGUGGCAAGCGUUGUCCGGAAUUAUUGGGCGUAAAGGGCUCGCAGGCGGUUUCUUAAGUCUGAUGUGAAAGCCCCCGGCUCAACCGGGGAGGGUCAUUGGAAACUGGGAAACUUGAGUGCAGAAGAGGAGAGUGGAAUUCCACGUGUAGCGGUGAAAUGCGUAGAGAUGUGGAGGAACACCAGUGGCGAAGGCGACUCUCUGGUCUAUAAUUGACGCUGAGGAGCGAAAGCGUGGGGAGCGAACAGGAUUAGAUACCCGAGUAGUCCCUGUCUCUUAUAC
rnacentral:rRNA from 1 species